rnacentral:sRNA from 1 species
UGUGGAAACCUACUGUGGUAGAAACUGUGGCCCUUAUGAGGGUAACACUUGAAUACUCCUACUAAUGGAGGAUUUAUAGUCUGAAUUGUCAUCUUUUGUAGUGAGGCAAGGCUUCCAGUGGAGGCCUUGGGUUACUUUUAAUUAAGUUGAUUGGCUGAGAUCCCUAAGCAACCAAGUUUGAUGCUAGGACAGAAGGUUGCUUUAUGAAAUCUGAAAAUGGGGGCCUAUUCCCGAGGGCAAUUUCCUUCCAGUUCAUUGAACACAGAGAAGUUGAGCUGAUGCAGGCUUGGAGUCUUCACUCCUACAUUCUAGUCUCUGUCACAAUAGGUACUCUGUGAGCUAUGCAAAGAGAAUCCUAGACACCAACCCAGUCCCAAGACCUCAAACUUACAGCCUGUCCAGCUCGCAGGAUGGGCUGGGCCAGUUGUGGUAAAGAACUUGUGAGUGAAGCCAAUCAGUGUCUGAUUUAACUUGAGGCCUACUCCUCAAGAAGGAGCUCAUACUGAACACUGCCUGAAUGACUAGGAACUGGAUGUUGGAUACCUCAGAGACCACUGCUUUUGAAAGAACUGGGCAUCUGAGGAGCAAGUCAUUUCCAUGGGACUGUUAAAUUCCCCUCCAUCUGAGGCUUUUCAUCCUGCCUCGCUUAGUCUCGAUCUCCGAGUAGAGCUGACACACUGGGCCAAGGAAACCCUUUCAAAGACAAGGACGUCGAGCACUAACUAUGGAAUAAAUUCCGAGGGACGGCAAUGAGAAUUGCUCACACUCUCUCAUGUGGGUCAGAAGAUACGGAAACCACAGAGGCAAGCAUCUGAGAUCCUGACUUGGCUUCAGGCUUCUUGCAUUCAUUUACCUUUGGUGUCCUACAAGGUCAUUCUCUGCUACAUAUGCGGCUGAGCCGUGGGUCCCUCUGUGUGUACUCUUUGGUUGGUGGUUUAGUCCCUGGGAGCUCUGGGCGUUCUGGUUGGUUGAUACUGAUGUUCUUCCUAGGGGAUGCAACCCCCCUUCAGCUCCUUCGGUCCUUUCUCUAACUCCUCCAUUGGGGACCCCAU